UACCGGGCCGCUGCCUGUCAGGAGACGGGCUGCAAACGGGUACCGAUCCACGGCCCUUCGGAAACGGGGUCCGCGAACCGGUACCAAUCCGUGGCCCAUCAGGAACGGGUCUGCAAACGAGUACCUGUCCGCAGCCCGUCGGAAACGGGGUCCGAGAACAGAUUACAGCCAAGUCAUGUUUCUGCGGGAGACUGUAAUGCACCCCGACGCCCAUAGGUGGCAGCAGAACACCCAGGUCACGCAGCCGCCUGGAAAAACACCAGGACCUUGACGACACUGUCAGCCUCCAUCUUCUGGAACUCUCGAAUAAGCUGCGAAGUUCACAAGGGUCGCUGACGCCGGGUUCUGUGUGUGGCCACGGGUGAGUGAGUCCUCCGACUAUCAGAUUGCAGGCCCAGUUCUCCAGCAACUGUUUCAGUCGUGGGGUGAGACCGGAUCGCCACGGGCCAUCUUCAGCUCCUGUCUCACGACUGACCAUGGACUUGGGAAGGGAAAGAAAUGCUACUGCCUCUCUCAAGCCACAAUACAUAAGUAAGAACUCUGCAAGCCAUUAAAGGCUCAUCACUUUCCCCCACUAAGUGAUAAAUCAUCCCUUUCAGGGCCUGUCCAGACCAACCAAGAAAGAACAGUACUACUCCCCAAGGUUCCAGCUCUUACAACACAACAGAAACAGGAGUCACAUGUAAUAAUGGUCAGUCGCUGCCCAAUGUGCAGUGACCGAUACCAUUGCCUAAGUAAAUAAUUUUUAAAUCAAAAGUGAGCUUCUGGAAUUAGAAUUAUAGAUAUUCUUUCAUCCAAGUAGAAGAAAUUUACCAGGAAUUAUCCUACAAGUAUACUUGCACCCGAGUAUAGGACAUAAAGGGGUAAUCAUUAGAGUGAUGUAUUUUUAAACUGGAAAAAUACAUAAUCCACCCAAUAAAGGAUUGUGCAGCCAUGAGGAA